GCUGAGUAGGAUGCAGUCUUCUGCUUGUGCAUUUCGCAGGCGUGGCCUCGCCGCUCCCCUUUUUCUUCAGUGCCACUUAACACUCACCGCUACGAACACCAACGUGAACGGGCAACUCAACGGCUUUCACGAGGCGUUCAUCGAGGAGGGCACGUUCCUCUUCACCUCAGAGUCUGUGGAGGAAGGCCACCCAGAUAAGAUCUGUGACCAGAUCAGUGAUGCUGUGCUUGAUGCCCACCUUCAGCAGGACCCUGAUGCCAAAGGGGCUUGUGAAACUGUGGCUAAAACUGGAAUGAUCCUUCUUGCUGGGGAAAUUACGUCCAGAGCUGCUGUUGACUACCAGAAAGUGGUUCGUGAAACCAUUAAAUACAUUGGAUAUGAUGAUUCUUCCAAAGGGUUUGACUACAAGACUUGUAAUGUGCUGGUAGCCUUGGAGGAACAGUCACCAGAUAUUGCUCAAGGUGUUAAUCUUGACCGGAACGAGGAACACAUUGGUGCAGGGGACCAGGGUUUGAUGUUUGGUUAUGCACUGAUGAAACUGAGGAACGUAUGCCUUUAACUAUUGUCUUAGUACACAAGCUCAAUGCAAAACCAGCCGAACUACGCCGCAAUGGCACUUUGCCUUGGUUACGUCCAGAUUCUAAACCUCAAGUGACUGUGCAGUGCAUGCAGGAUCGAGGUGCUGUGCUUCCCAUCAGAGUCCACACAAUUGUUAUAUCUGUUCAGCAUGAUGAAGAGGUUUGCCUUGAUGAGAUGAGGGAUGCCCUAAAGGAGAAAGUCAUCAAAGCAGUUGUCCCUGCAAAAUAUCUUGAUGAGGAUACAAUCUAUUGUCUACAGCCAAGUGGCAGAUUUGUUAUUGGUGGGCCUCAGGGUGAUGCUGGUUUGACUGGCCGGAGAAUCAUUGUGGACACUUGUGGCGGUUGGGGAGCUCAUGGAGGAGGUGCCUUUUCAGGAAAAGAUUAUACCAAGGUGGACCGUUCAGCUGCUUAUGCUGCUCGUUAGGUGGCAAAAUCCCUUGUUAAAGGGGGUCUGUGCAGAAGGGUUCUUGUUCAGGUCUCUUAUGCUAUUGGAGUUUCUCAUCCAUUGUCUAUCUCCAUUUUCCAUUAUGGCACCUCUCAGAAGAGUGAGAGAGAGCUAUUAGAGAUUGUGAAGAAGAAUUUUGACCUCCGCCCUGGGGUCAUUGUCAGGGAUCUGGAUCUGAAGAAGCCAAUUUAUCAGAGGACGGCAGCCUAUGGCCACUUUGGUAGGGACAGCUUCCCAUGGGAAGUGCCCAAAAAGCUUAAAUAUUGA